rnacentral:lncRNA from 1 species
UAAUACAACACACCCAAUCCCCACCCUUGGCUCAUGAUGCGUCCAGAAUUCAUACAAAAACAAAACCGUUUUCCCGGCACCAAAACAUAAACAAACCCAAAAUUCCAUAACCGAAAUCAGGAGGUAUGCAAUCAACAGAGCAAACUUAUCUUCAUAGCUUUACAAUCAUCACUAUUUUGAAUAAUCAUAAAGCUGAAAAUUGAAAAUUCACAAAUGCAAUCGAAACCGAAUUAAGUCCGAAAUCGUGACAUAUGGAAGCUACAAAUAAAACUCCACCACAACUUAAACACGCAUAAAUAAAUAGCGGAUUUUGAAUCGUGUAAACCAGCCGAAAU